AGCCCGGUCCGGCCCAUGUCAAGCCUUGGUAAGGUUCUUCGCGUUGCAUCGAAUUAAUCCGCAUGCUCCGCCGCUUGUGCGGGCCCCCGUCAAUUCCUUUGAGUUUCAACCUUGCGGCCGUACUUCCCAGGCGGAGAACUUAACGCGUUAGCUACGACACCGGAAGGCAGACCCUCCCGACAUCCAGUUCUCAUCGUUUAGGGCGUGGACUAC
rnacentral:misc_RNA from 1 species